rnacentral:rRNA from 1 species
UCCCUACGGGUGGCUGCAGUGGGGAAUAUUGGACAAUGGGCGCAAGCCUGAUCCAGCCAUGCCGCGUGAGUGAUGAAGGCCCUAGGGUUGUAAAGCUCUUUCACCGAUGAAGAUAAUGACGGUAGUCGGAGAAGAAGCCCCGGCUAACUUCGUGCCAGCAGCCGCGGUAAUACGAAGGGGGCUAGCGUUGUUCGGAAUUACUGGGCGUAAAGCGCACGUAGGCGGAUAUUUAAGUCAGGGGUGAAAUCCCAGAGCUCAACUCUGGAACUGCCUUUGAUACUGGGUAUCUCGAGUAUGGAAGAGGUGAGUGGAAUUCCGAGUGUAGAGGUGAAAUUCGUAGAUAUUCGGAGGAACACCAGUGGCGAAGGCGGCUCACUGGUCCAUUACUGACGCUGAGGUGCGAAAGCGUGGGGAGCAAACAGGAUUAGAUACCCUUGUAGUCU